CCAAUAGCGUAUAUUAAAGUUGUUGCAGUUAAAAAGCUCGUAGUUGAACUUCGGGGUCUACCCAUUGGUCAGGCUUAAUUGUCUGCACUGGUGAGAUGGAUCUCUACCUUCUGAGGAACUUUCAUGUCAUUUAUUUGGUGUGAUGGGAAAUCAGGACUGUUACUUUGAAAAAAUUAGAGUGUUUAAAGCAGACUAUCGUCUGAAUACAUUAGCAUGGAAUAAUGAAAUAGGACGGACUGAUUCUAUUUCGUUGGUUUCUAGGAUCACCGUAAUGAUUAAUAGGGAUAGUUGGGGGCAUUAGUAUUCAAUUGUCAGAGGUGAAAUUCUUGGAUUUAUUGAAGACUAACUACUGCGAAAGCAUUUGCCAAGGAUGUUUUCAUUAAUCAAGAACGAAAGUUAGGGGAUCGAAGACGAUCAGAUACCGUCGUAGUCUUAACCAUAAACUAUGCCGACUAGGGAUCGGAUGAUGUUAAUUUUUUAAUGACUCAUUCGGCGCCUUACG
rnacentral:rRNA from 1 species